rnacentral:lncRNA from 1 species
UGUGUUUAAAUCCCAGGAGAGAUAAAUCUUGUUACACGAAGGGGUAGUUCAUAAACUAUAGUCUAUUUUCCAAACAUCUUCUAGAUAUUUAUUUUGCUUACCCAUGUUUUAUAAUUAAUUUCUCACUUUGGGCUCGCAAAGUAAACUUUAAUAACAACCCUGAAUAUGUAUUUGCUAUGUAAUCUUUGUGGUUUUGUGAAAAGAUAGUUUGUAUUGUGUGCGUUGAGGCCAUAUAGUUGAUAGUAAAAAAUAUGCAUGGGAGUUAAAAAAGAGAUGUGUAAAAAAAUGUUUAUUAUUAAAGCAAAAAAGGAAAAAAUCAAAUAGUAUAAUAUAAUUUGUUACCGAAUGAUGGAUUGUUAAUGUGUGCG